rnacentral:lncRNA from 1 species
UUUCAGAUCAGAGGAAAAGAGUUUUUUUUAACCUUUCUUUAGCAUCCAGCAAUCUCUGAAGAUCCAUCUUCAACCUCAGAAGGGUUCGAGGUGAUUCCAAAAGAAGAUCUAUUCAAAUUAGCCAACAGGAGCAGUCUUCACGAGCUAGCACUUUUGGAGACAACAGAUCGAAAUGAGGACUUCAUGUGGAUGAUUCGUAGAGGUCGGAUGC